GCGCAGCAUACAAAGAAUACAUCUCCAAUGUGAGCAUGAGCAAGGCAGUGGUGGGGGAGGUUGGGGGGACUCUGCAGGGGCUGGGACUCACUUCCGCUCUCUUCCCAUCCUUUCUGUCAGAAACGUAAGAACAUGACUAAGCUUCGAGGCCCAAACCCCAAGUCUAGCCGGACCACCCUGCAGUCCAAGUCGGUAAGGAGCUCCUCCAAAAUGAGCGGGUGGCUUUGGGCAGGGUCCGGCAAGGUGGAUGUAUCCGGCUGCUGAUGCCUCCACACCUCCCAGGAGUCAGAGGAAGACGACGAUGAGGAAGAUGAUGAUGAUGAUGACGAGGAGGAAGAGGAAGAUGAUGAGAACGGCGACUCGUCCGAGGACGGUGGGGAUUCUUCUGAGUCGAGCAGUGAAGAUGAAAGCGAGGACGGGGAUGAGAAUGAGGAUGAUGACGACGACGAGGAUGACGACGAGGAUGACGAUGAGGAUGAAGACAACGAGUCUGAGGGCAGUAGCUCCAGCUCCUCAUCUUCAGGGGACUCCUCAGAUUCUGACUCCAAUUGAGGCUCCGCCUCCACCCCAGGCAGGCGGGCAGGCAGGCAGCCAAGGAGAGCCGCUGCAGAGCUUACCUCCCCAACUGACCACCUUUGUCUCCCCCUAUGUUCUGUCCCCUGUCCCCCCCAGACUCCCCCACUUUCUUUCUUUCCUUUAAAAAAAAAAUUCAGUGGGGUAGGAGGCUGCGUGAGCCCAGGCUAGGACUCUGCAGCCUUGGAGCGUCAGCUGCAGAGGUUCUCCAGGGACAACAACCAUCAGACUGAGCCAGCACUGGACCGGCCCGCCCCGCCCCUCUUCUGCACUUGCAGUUCCGGCAUGGACAGUGGACCGGAGAGUUUGGGGGUGGGAGCGUGUUCUAAAGAGUUUGGUGAGGCCCUCCGAGUCUGCAGCCUGCCGCAAGGUGGAUGUUCAGGGGGGCCUUCCCAGACGGGCUUGCCACCUGGACCCCCACAUUGAACCGGAGGGGGAGAAAGGUGCUGCCUUCGAGAAAGCAGGCAGCGUCCGUGUCCCUCUUCCCUGCCCCUGCAGGAAGGAGCUGCCAGGACCCGUUCGUGGGGGAGGGGCAGAGUGUUUUUUAUAUAUGUGUAUAUAUUUUUUUUUAAGCUCUGAGCUGUCAACGAGACGUUUCCUACCGA
rnacentral:lncRNA from 1 species